GUACGUGGCGAGCGUUGUCCGGAUUUACUGGGCGUAAAGAGCGCGCAGGCGGCUGGUCAAGUCCGAUGUGAAAGCUCCCGGCUUAACUGGGAAAUUGCAUCGGAAACUGAUCGGCUGGAAGGUGGGAGAGGGUAGCGGAAUUCCCGGUGUAGUGGUGAAAUGCGUAGAUAUCGGGAGGAACACCAGUGGCGAAAGCGGCUACCUGGCCCAUUCUUGACGCUGAGGCGCGAAAGCUAGGGGAGCAAACGGGAUUAGAUACCCCGGUAGUCCUAGCCGUAAACGAUGAACACUAGGCGUAGUCGGUAUCGACCCCGGCUGUGCCGUAGCUAACGCAUUAAGUGUUCCGCCUGGGGAGUACGGCCGCAAGGCUA
rnacentral:rRNA from 1 species